rnacentral:rRNA from 1 species
GACGAAGGGGGCUAGCGUUGUUCGGAAUUACUGGGCGUAAAGCGAGUGUAGGUGGUUGUCAUAGUCAGGCGUGAAAGCCUUGAGCUCAACUCAAGAAAUGCGCUUGAUACUGGGCAGCUAGAGGACCGGAGAGGAUAGUGGAAUUCCACGUGUAGCAGUGAAAUGCGUAGAUAUGCGGAGGAACACCAGAGUGGAGCGAACGG